GAAUUGCGAUAAGUAAUGUGAAUUGCAGAAUUCAGUGAAUCAUCGAAUCUUUGAACGCACCUUGCGCUCUUUGGUAUUCCGAAGAGCAUGCCUGUUUGAGUGUCAUUAAAUUCUCAACCCAUUUCAUUUGUUUAUCAAGUGAAGUGUGUGUUGGAUGUGGGGGUUGCGGGCUUUCAUUCAGUUGAAGUCGGCUCUCCUGAAAUGCAUUAGCGGAAACCUUUGUUGGACCGCUUCUAUUGGGUGUGAUAAUUAUCUACGCCUAGGAAGCGCGAAAGCACUUGGGUUCAAUUUUGAACCGGGGUUUUGCUUCUAAUCGUCCAUUCACUUGGACAAUUUACUUUGACAUUUGACCUCAAAUCAGGUAGGACUACCCGCUGAACUUAA
rnacentral:misc_RNA from 1 species